rnacentral:rRNA from 1 species
CCUACGGGUGGCAGCAAUGGGGAAUAUUGCACAAUGGGGGAAACCCUGAUGCAGCAACGCCGCGUGAGUGAAGAAGUAUUUCGGUAUGUAAAGCCCUAUCAGUCGGGAAGAGAAUGACGGUACCUGACUAAGAAGCCCCGGCUAACUACGUGCCAGCAGCCGCGGUCAUACGUAGGGGGCGAGCGUUAUCCGGAUUUACUGGGUGUAAAGGGAGCGUAGACGGUUCUGCAAGUCUGAAGUGAAAGCCCGGGGCUUAACCGCGGAACGGCUUUGGAAACUGUGGAACUGGAGUGCUGGAGAGGCAAGCGGAAGUCGUGGUGUAGCGGUGAAAUGCGUAGAUAUUAGGAGGAACACCAGUGGCGAAGGCGGCUUGCUGGACAGUAACUGACGUUGAGGCUCGAAAGCGUGGGGAGCAAACAGGAUUAGAUACCCGAGUAGUC